CAACCCUCAAGCAUUGCUUGGUGUUGGGGCACCGCCUGUAAAAGGGCGGGCCCUGAAAUCUAGUGGCGAGCUCGCCAGGACCCCGAGCGUAGUAAUUAUAUUUCGUUCUGGAAGGCCCUGGCGGUGCCCUGCCGUUAAACCCCCAACUUCUGAAA
rnacentral:misc_RNA from 1 species